rnacentral:rRNA from 1 species
AGGGGUCCGUAAGGCGUGAGUAACCUGCCCCCCUCUCUGGGAUAACAGUUGGAAACGGCUGCUAAUACCGGAUAUUCAGACCUUUAGGCAUCUUUUGGUUUGGAAAGUUCUGGCGGUGGGGGAUGGACUCGCGUCCUAUCAGCUUGUUGGUGGGGUAGUGGCCUACCAAGGCGACGACGGGUAGCCGGCCUGAGAGGGCGACCGGCCACAUUGGGACUGAGAUACGGCCCAAACUCCUACGGGAGGCAGCAGUGGGGAAUAUUGCACAAUGGGGGAAACCCUGAUGCAGCAACGCCGCGUGCGGGAUGACGGCCUUCGGGUUGUAAACCGCUUUCAGCCAUGACGAAGCUUUUGUGACGGUAGUGGCAGAAGAAGCACCGGCUAACUACGUGCCAGCAGCCGCGGUGAUACGUAGGGUGCGAGCGUUGUCCGGAAUUAUUGGGCGUAAAGAGCUUGUAGGCGGUUUGUCGCGUCCAAAGUGUAAACUUCACUGCUUUAACGCUGAGCCUGCUUUUCGAUACGGGCUGACUAGAGGAAAGGAAGGGAGAAUGGAAUUCCCGGGGGAGCGGUGGAAUGCCCCAGAUAUCGGGAGGAACA